rnacentral:snRNA from 1 species
GGGCUUUGGCAGCACAUAUACUAAAACUGGAACAAUAGAGAAUUUUAGCAUGGGCCCUGCACAAGGAUGACAUGCAAACUCAUGAAGCAUUCCAUAUUUUG